GGGGGUACAUAUUGUGACGUUAUGGCGUUAUCAGGAGGUGAUCACUAAAUACCCACUGAAGGCCCAGGAAUCCCCAUUAAAAGAAGUCUCGUGAUGUGAGGUCAUGGUGAACGCGGAGGGUAUUCAACAAAAAUCCGUCCAAUCCACAUGUUUGGCAAGAUCACAUAAAGGAAGUAUCUAACAUUGCGAUUUUAGCGUGGGAGUGUCCCAUCUUGCUGAAAAUACUGGCUGCCAUCAUUUGGUUCAAUGGGUUCAAUAGAUUCAUUUGGGUUCACUGGGUUCAAUGGGUUCAAUGUGCAAAGACAAAACAAACGAUUUGAAUUAUCAGCUGCUAAAAGCUGUAUGCAUUUUUUUAGGGGGAUACCCUGUAUUUUGUUUUUAUUUAAUCACUCUAACAUAUGCUGCAACUGAGCAAGAUUUUCUUGAAA